UCUAGGGUUUCCCAGAAGAAUUACUCAUUAUAUCCCCUAUAUAGUGCAGCCAGAAACGAGUUCCUCAUUGAAAAUCUUCCGCCGCCCCUCCCGAUUACCCAAGCCCUCAAUUCGCAAAUUCUCCAAUUCCACAAUUUGUCAUCGUCCACUCUCGCGUCCUGUUGCAUGCGUGUCUGUGCUUGAAUCUCUAUCAUCCUCUCUCUGCAUUUGUUUCUCAUAAUCUUCAACUUUCUAUUUUUAUAUUUUACAGUAAAGCUAUUGCGCAAUCAUGUGAUGAGGAAAAAACUGCAACAAUAUGAUGGAUUUGUUCCGUGAUUCGUUGUAUUUAAGUCUCUGAUGAUUUCUUCAUUUCUUCUGAAGUUCUAUCUUGCUUCGAUUUGAUUUUUUUUUUUGUUUAUUUGAUCUGACGAAUGCUUCUCAUAUUGGAGACAUGAUGAUAACCCUUUAUUGGUCCUUGUUUCAGAAUUUACCAUGACCGAUAAAUCUCUACCAAACUCUGAUCUCUCCCAGAUUAAUCUAUCAGAUCCUUCUCGAAAAUCUGUUUUAUUUUAUUUUAUUUUAUUUUAUUUUAUCACUAGUAGCAAUGGCUCAAUGAUUGCAAGCCUAUUUGGCCGUAUACGCUAUUCCGAAUUUAGAUGAUAGACAUCUUUAGAUUUAUGAGAGCUGCUACUAAUGCCAGUAUAUUUUCAUUUGGAAUCUACAGAGAAUGUUUUUCUUAGUUUCAAAAUAAUUGCAAUAAAAUUAGUGCUACAUUGAUUUAA